AGAUGGCAUGCUCAACAUACAACU
rnacentral:siRNA from 1 species